UCCAUGACCUUGCUAUGUUCGAGGUUCAAGUAAUAUUCUUACCUUUUUGUUGUUGAUAAUGUCAGAUGAUAACGUCCUCUCUUUAUGUGCUGCAUGAAGAAAAGCAAAAAAAAAGCACAAAAAAGAAAAAGAAAAAGACGUGCAUUUAAAUUUGAAGGAAAUGUCACAGGAACCCCAACUGCAAGCUCUAGAAUCAGUUUUGCAAUUGCACAGAACGCCACUAGAUGGCAGCAGAGGAAACGGACCGUCUCACUACAAAUGGCCAUCCCAGCAUUGUUGCAAACAUGAGCUGAUGAUAGCGACGCACCAGGAGAGGACAUGGGUGAUUUGAUGAUGGCUUCGGGUCGAGGGGCGACCGGUUGGACAGGCCGUGUCUGCUUAGCUGCUAACUUCUUCAGGCUAACUCUUCUUUUC